rnacentral:rRNA from 1 species
UGGGGAAUAUUGGACAAUGGGCGCAAGCCUGAUCCAGCCAUGCCGCGUGAGUGAUGAAGGCCCUAGGGUUGUAAAGCUCUUUCACCGGUGAAGAUAAUGACGGUAACCGGAGAAGAAGCCCCGGCUAACUUCGUGCCAGCAGCCGCGGUAAUACGAAGGGGGCUAGCGUUGUUCGGAUUUACUGGGCGUAAAGCGCACGUAGGCGGACUUUUAAGUCAGGGGUGAAAUCCCGGGGCUCAACCCCGGAACUGCCUUUGAUACUGGAAGUCUUGAGUAUGGUAGAGGUGAGUGGAAUUCCGAGUGUAGAGGUGAAAUUCGUAGAUAUUCGGAGGAACACCAGUGGCAAAGGCGGCUCACUGGACCAUUACUGACGCUGAGGUGCGAAAGCGUGGGGAGCAAACAGG